UUGACCUCAAAUCAGGUAGGACUACCCGCUGAACUUAAGCAUAUCAAUAAGCGGAGGAAAAGAAACUAACAAGGAUUCCCCUAGUAACUGCGAGUGAAGCGGGAAAAGCUCAAAUUUUGAAUCUGGUGGUCCUCGCAGGCCAUCCGAGUUGUAAUCUAGAGAAGCGUCUUCCGCACCGGCCCGUGUACAAGUCUCCUGGAAGGGAGCGUCAUAGAGGGUGAGAAUCCCGUCUCUGACACGGACCACCGGGGCUAUGUGAUGCGCUCUCGACGAGUCGAGUUGUUUGGGAAUGCAGCUCAAAAAGGGUGGUAAACUCCAU
rnacentral:rRNA from 1 species